AUUGGACCUAUGGUCUCCUCUUGGUCCCAAGAAUAAUUUUCCAUGAUUGAUCAUUUAAUUGACUAAUAAAGUUAUUGUAAUUAAAUUCCACUUAUAAUGCUGAGAGAUAGUCCAUUCAAUAAUGCAGGAAUUAAUACAUAAUUACAUUUGUGAUAUUGAUUAGAGAGUGAGAUAAAGCUAGGUGGUGAGGAUCGGAGGAAGGUAAUCAGAUUUGGUGCCUAGGAUGCGAGCCUUGGUGUCAGGGAAAUACUCGGUUCCUGGCAUAGUUGUAACGGCUCCAUCGUUGGUCACUUCAAUGGGAUAGCGAAGGAGGUGGCCCAUGAGAUCCUGGUCGAAAGCUUCACUUGCAUAAAUUUCCCAGAGUUCAUCAGCAAUCUUAUUCACCGUCUGGACACACUCAACGCUUUCAGGAUGGUGGAAGGAACGCUCAAUGAAUCCAAGGUGUUCAUACCAGAGUGCCAAUCUUAAACCAUUUAUCUGACCCCUGGCUGGCUGUGUUGUUGCCAAAUGGUGUGGUUGGAACCCUCCCAUUGCAAUUUCAGAGUCCCUUGCGCCAUCCAUUGACCUCUGGUUGAUGUUUGCGGAUCCAAUGAUUAUGUACUCAUCAUCAACAAUCAUCAUCUUCGCAUGAACGUAGAUCAUGAAUCGACGGGCCUGCUGAGCUCUGCUGUAAUUAGAAUCGGGGUCCGGUGUUUCUGGAUGCGCAUAUUCUCCUAUCUUCUUUGUCUCCCUGUUCCCAAGGCAGAAAAACGACAAGUAAUCCCUUGGAUGAUGUUGAAGUCCAUUUCUUCUAAGGGCAUCAGAAAUAUCAGAAUACAUCAUCUCCAUUGUUCUUCUUUGCCAAUCUAGUAUUGCCUGAACAGAAGCACUCUCAGGUAUGCCUUCUGGCCACAUUGGGAUCACAAUGUAGACAGUAAACCUUUCUCCUGCGUCUAUCUUACUAGCUAUCUUCAGCGACAGCUCCUUUGGGAUAAGAUGCAAGGCAUUGAUAUCCUUGACCUUGAUAUCAUUUGAUUUCCAGCCAAAUGAACUUCCGAGGAAAUACUGAUUUUCGAUGUAGAUAAAAUUCUUUGCCCGCCGAAUGGCGUUGAUAUAAGCAUCUUGAAUGCUUCUGUCAAUGAUGUUGUCCUUCCCACUGACAAGGCCAGAUACAGCUACUUCCUCAGGUCUCGUAGGGAAGCCAACAACAGCUCCACCAUCAAUGGAACGGAACAACUGGACAUUCCAUGUAUCAGUGUCCGAUGAUUGCAACACCGGCAAUGGGCGGGUUGUAUACUCUUCCAGGGUCUGUUGUGGAAUUAAGAAACUUUCCCCAACUUGCUUUUUCCACCUUUGCUCGAAAUUGUAGAGGACAUCCCAUGCGACAGGUCCUUCUAGCUUGCAAUGAAUAUCAUGCCAAGGCUCCCUUGGACCUCCUUUCUUGAUGGAGGAGCCAGGAAAGUUGGGUUGAUGAAAAUCAUCAUGAUGGAUUGUGUCCAAGGUCUUGAAUAGAGGAUGGUCUUGUGUAUCGUAUCUCCCAUCGCAAAGAUCAAUGCCUCCAACAAAACUCACUAUUCUCCUUUUCUGUGAUGUGCUAUCAGGCAUUUCACAGUCGACAACCACUGUCUUCUGGUGGUGAGUAAACAUGGUAGAGAUUUCAAAUCCCUGAAUUAUGCUUCUUCCAUCGUCGGGAUUGCGGGGGCAUAGAAAGCAAUGCACGUUCGUGUUCCUGAAGUAGUUUUCAGUUUCUUGAUCAUGGGUUGCCAUUAGGCCAUCCUUCUUCAGUUCCUCAACAGAGGUUCUGUCAUCCCAAACGAGCAUAAGAACUCUCACACCUUCAUCAGCCUUCUUCUUGAGCAGAUCCCCAAGUUUUAGGUCACCUCCUGGUUUUCGCCUAUGAGGAUCCCUAACCAAAGUUAUCUCAGUAUAAACAGACCACCCAGUUAUGUAAAUCAGGUACUUGGCAUUAGUGAUGGCAUCAAAGAUGUCUUCCCAGCAUCUGUGAGCUUCAUAGGUCUUUCCUUCUAUUGGAAUCCUAGGAAUAAAACUGUUAGGGACAUGAGCAUCCUGAUACAGAGUAACCUGGCAACCCUGUCGUUGAUUGAAGAAUGUGUAAGGAACUCCAUCAUAGCGUGGAUUCUUGAUUCCCUGAGACCAAUUACUGUCAUGGGCAGCACUCAAGAAGUGCAGCUUAACAUGGAUCCUAGAGCCAAUGGGGUUGCGAUAUACAUCUAAUAUAUCUACCCAUUUGUCAACAAUGUACCCUUUGAUGACAUCUUCAACAGGUAUAUAAGCUCUUCCAAUCAGCUCUGCCCCAACAACUUGGUCAUCUUUUACUGUGAAAAUAACAUGUGAGAUCAAAUGGGCACAAUAUAUGUUGAAGGACUCGUACCACUGAGGGUUAUAGGGUUGAUUUUCUAUCAUUCUAGUUCUUCCAACCCUUGCCUUGUCCAGAUCAACUGUUGCAUAGAGUCUAGAACCAACAAUCUCAGGCCUGCAAAGCACCAUUCUCUUGACUUUGGAUAGAAAUUUUUUCCCACAACUUUUUUUGUCCAGUACCCUUGCUGAAGAAAUUGAAUCCACACCCAUUUUGUAUCCUGUCAACCUCAAAUAUCGUCACAGAAAGGGUCCCAUGGAGCAAACUAGGCAUCCUUUUCACCC
rnacentral:misc_RNA from 1 species